rnacentral:rRNA from 1 species
CAGGAUGAACGCUGGCGGCGUGCUUAACACAUGCAAGUCGAACGGAGUUUUAACGGAAGUUUCGGAUGGAAGUUAGAAACUAGUGGCGGACGGGUGAGUAACGCGUGGGUAACCUGCCUCAUACAGGGGGAUAACAGUUAGAAAUGACUGCUAACACCGCAUAAUAUAGCGAAACCGCAUGAUUUUGCUAUCAAAUAUUUAUAGGUAUGAGAUGGGCCCGCGUCUGAUUAGCUAGUUGGUGGGGUAAAAGCCUACCAAGGCGACGAUCAGUAGCCGGCUUGAGAGAGUGACCGGCCACAUUGGGACUGAGACACGGCCCAAACUCCUACGGGAGGCAGCAGUGGGGAAUAUUGGACAAUGGGGGAAACCCUGAUCCAGCGACGCCCGCGUGAGUGAAGAAGUAUUUCGGUAUGUAAAGCUCUAUCAGCAGGGAAGAUAAUGACAGUACCUGACUAAGAAGCCCCGGCUAACUACGUGCCAGCAGCAGC